rnacentral:lncRNA from 1 species
AUGGGGGUGGGCGCGUGGAGGAGGAGGAGGGGGUGGUGGCAGAGGCGGAAGAAGAGGUCCUUCUUGGAGGAGCAGCCGAGAUCGACGGCGGCGGCGGCGGCGGCGCGGGAGAGGAUGGAGGGGAAGUCGGGCGGGAGGAAGCGCUGCCAGACGGCGUCGGAGGCGGCGGCGGAGCGGAAGGCGGCCGACACCACCGACAGCCGGCAGGCGUCGCGUGGGCUCGUCAGCGAGAUCACGUGCGCGAUGCACCCCUCCGGCACCCUGCUGAACUCCCCCACGCCCACGCCCUCCUCCAUUUCAUGACUCUCUUUUUCUUCUCCUUUUCUUUUUCUUUUUCUUUUUUUUGGGGGGGAUUGUUGUUGUUGUGCGGAUCUGUGUGCGUGUUUUCUACUUUCUAGUUCUGAAAAGGGAACGAGAGGAGGAGGAGAAGCGAUGAAGGAGAACACGAGGCGAGGGACACGAAGCUUAUCAUCUAAGUAGUUAGUAAUGUUUAUUACGAUCGAAGCGUGGGGUGGUGGCGCAGUUGGCUAGCGCGUAGGUCUCAUAGCUUGUUGAGUGUGAUCCUGAGGUCGAGAGUUCGAGCCUCUCUCACCCCACAGUUCUUUUUUGUACCGAAUACAAUAAUAAAUUAUUUAAGGUAAAAUUUUAAAUUUUUUUUAAAAGUUUAUCACCUCAACAAUUUACCUGCUAAAAACCUUUUGCCCCCCAGGUAGUACAUUCUUUCCUACGAGAAAAAAAAAAAAAAAGAAAAAAAAAAAAAAAAAAAAAAUCCUUAUUGUGUGGAUUCAAUAAGCCUUCUACCACUUCGUCUUGUUAUGUCAACAUAAACAGAAGUGUAACUAGAAUGUUCCAACUCAUCUUCAUACAUAAAAAUAAGUAAUAAGUUCCAACUUUACACUCAUUCUACAAAAGCCACAAACAGGCAACUUUAAUUAAAUUCGAAAAGACAAAACAAACUUUGCCAUAGAGUUAGCAACACUUUUUAUGAGCUCUAAUCUCAGGCCUUAUUUUCAAUGCCUUGGGACAAUUAGCCCUUCUUCCAGUUCCCUCCUCUGAUCUCCCUCAAGCAUCUCAACCGUCACCUCCUCCCCGGUUCGUUGUUAGAACUCCCAUCUCCACCUCCAUCCAACCGUCGCUCUCUAUCCGCGGAAUAUCACCGCAUCCAUAGUUUCUGCCGGCAUCUUUUCGCUCCUCUGAGGCCUAAAGCGCGGAAGCACUAACACGCAUAAUAUUGCUGUGUACCAGCAUUCAGUUGGAGGACACUGUGAUGUUUCGAGUCGACACCGCCCUAGAGUUACGCAGUUUCUUGCUUCGGGCAGUGAAGGCGUGCAGUCGUCUGCUAUGGAAGACGAGAAUACGCAGCAUAUGCCGUCUUCGGGAGACGCGCUGCUCCAUCCUGCCGACCAAUCUCCAACCAGCACACGUCGAUAGCUCAAAGCAAUCUCCCCAAACCUGAUAAAAAAUAGAAGAGUUUCACAGUAUAGUUGGCAUUGAUUCGUGUGGCUUCUUUUCUUAGUGUAUGAACGCACAAACACACUUUUCAAUUCUCAAUUACUGCUACAUUUUCAAACUACUGCAAAUAAGUCCUAAAAUGUCGGCGACAGAUAGAUAACGAAUUUUAUCGAUCUGGUUCAACUACUGCAGAUAACUCUGUAACGAGUAGGUGAUGAAACAAAAGAUAAGGCUUCUCGAAAGCUCGGCUGGAAUACCGGAAUGCCUUAGAUGUAGUUGUUAUUCGUAACCAAAAUAGAAAGAAGCAAAACUUUUAAAAAAAAGGCGAGGUGUAUUUGCAAGUUAAUCGUGUCGAAAGUAGAAAACAACUGCGAUCAGAGCAUUUCAAAACCUUAGGCAUCUAUUUUUUAUGCAAUUUUCAUAUGUGUGCUGUGUUUCUCAUGCUUCGGUGCGCGGACGUCGCAAAACUAUACCCGCUAUAUUUUUUGUAGGAUUGGUGUGUUCAAGAUGUUAACUUGGUGCGUAGUAUAUAUUUUACUUUAGGACAGUGACAUACACCUAGCUACUAAGAAGGUAACUAGUCAGAGCCAACAUGCGCAACUGAAAUCAAUUUAGUUUUCUAGUAUAUCAGUGUAGUUAUUAUUAUGCUAUUCAGCAAUCACAAACAAAUGAUCUUGCGCAAAAAUGGAGAGAGAUUCGAAAGGCGCAAACCUGCAUGCAGGAGAUGCGAUCACAAACCCAAUAUUGCGGAGUAUCGCCCCAUGUAUCGAAGAGCUCUCGCCGACAGCAUAUAACACUUUGCUCCGCUCGAUUUGUCCAACCAAAAGCUCUGCGAUCACCACCACCAAUUCACCAAAUCUUUAGAUCAAAUAUAACAGGAAAAUUUGGAACAGCACUGUAUAUAUUGUUAAAGAUAUGCCUUCUUUUUUAUUGGUUUGAUCCAUACACCGGAUUUACGGAAUAUAUUAAUUCUUAAAGUUGAUUCACGUUGGUGUAAGAGAUGAGACUGAAUCUAAUUAAUAUUGGGAUUGCAUGCAUCAAAAUCAUAUUCGGUUUAUACUUCUCAAACCGACUCCAAUUAACAUUGGUUGACUUUGACCGGAUUAAUUAGCACUAUAUAUUCAUGCUGGGGUGAACCGUACGAUGCAUCAUGUGGUAGAAAACGUCAUGUGGUAGAAAAUUAAUUAGUAUCGGGCUAAUUAAUUCACAGCUUCCUAUAGCCGUACGGUAGCAAGAGAAGGAGAUGCGCGGUAGCACGCAUGCGACGGAUUGACGUUGGCGGCGGAGCGGCGGUUCUCAACCAAUUACCAAGAAAUUUGGUUAGAGUUUCUAUACUUCUCUAAUUUGGUCUUCUCGGUUUUACGAAAAGCUUUUUCGGUAUUUUUUUGGAGUUUUCGUUGGAACAAGAAAGGUGGGAUUCACCAUAAGAUUCUUGAUUUUUUAUCCGGAAAAGACAUAAGGUGUAAGGUUGUACUUCUAUUUUCUUCAUAUUGUGGAAUACAUCUCUCUCGCUCUUCCCGUGGACGUAGACAAUUGCCGAACCACGUAAAUCUUGAUUUCUUCUUUCUGCAUUUAUUUCUUUUACCGUUCGGUCGAUUUUUUUUAUUUUUCGUGCAUCUUUGUUGGUAGCACACGACGGACGAUCCAUCCGGUUCCCAACAUAUAUGAAUAUAUCUGACGUUGCCGGAGUUACAAUCUCUUUUGCAGAGACUAGUUAACUCAUAACUAACUUUAUUUGCUAUUAGCCAUUAACUAUUAAAUUUAAGUAAACAAUUAUUGAUCGUAAUAAGUAAGUUUAUUUGAUGAAAAUCAUAUACCACUCUAAAAAUAAAUAAAUAAAUUCAAAAGUUAAAAAGAAGAAGAAGAAGAAAAUACGAUGGGGGUGGGCGCGUGGAGGAGGAGGAGGGGGUGGUGGCAGAGGCGGAAGAAGAGGUCCUUCUUGGAGGAGCAGCCGAGAUCGACGGCGGCGGCGGCGCGGGACAGGAUGGAGGGGAAGUCGGGCGGGAGGAAGCGCUGCCAGACGGCGUCGGAGGCGGCGGCGGACACCACCGACAGCCGGCAGGCGUCCCGUGGGCUCGUCAGCGAGAUCACGUGCGCGAUGCACCCCUCCGGCACCCUGCUGAACUCCCCCACGCCCUCCUCCAUUUCAUGACUCUCUUUUUCUUUCUCCUUUUCUUUUUCUUUUUCUUUCUAGUUCUGAAAAGGG